GACUUUGAGGGUGCUAUCUUUCUUUUGUUUUUUUUUCUUUUUUUUUUCUUUUGAUUUUGCUUUUGAUUUUGCUUUCUUUUGAUUUCUUUUGAUUUUGCACCCUCCUCUUUCUUUUUCUUUUUCUUUUUUUUCUUUUUGAUAAUGCCCCAGUUGGCUGUUCUGCUGAUUCUCGAGAUGCAGCUGAGUGAUCUUCUUCUCUUGCUCAAGAAGUCGGGAAAUACCGUCAGGAAUCCCUUCAACAUCAUCUUCUUCCGCUUCGAAUACAGGGAAUUCAAAAUUGGGAGAUGACGUCCGAUCAUUAUGCUCAAUGGGUUUGAGAAACAACCUGCAUAAAGAUUUUGAGUAUAAAAAGCACUUUGAAAAUCAAACAAGACAAUCGUUAUGCAGAUGAAAAGAUUGCUUUUAUUCUUGUUUUUAAGGGUUUUUG
rnacentral:lncRNA from 1 species